ACUAGGUCACCGGUACCCCUAAACCUCAGUUUUGUGAAACCAUCAACCAGCCAGUGCCCCACUAGGCCCCCUGUACCACCAUCAACCAGCCAGUGCCCCACUAGGCCCCCUGUACCACCAUCAACCAGCCAGUGCCCCACUAGGCCCCCUGUACUACUUACCUCCACUGUCAAGUACCCACCGCCUGCCACUCUGCAACCUGGUGCAAUGUGUGGAAACCCUUCGGAAUCCAUUCAACCUUCAUCCCCCUCCUUCCAGUCAGACAGGCAUGAAUCUCAAGAAAUAACACAUCAAAUGACACUAUUUCUACUGGACCUUACAAAAACCCAUCAGCAACUUUAUUUUAGGAACAAAAUGGCUUUCUAUAAAAAAUUGCAAAACUCCUUCUCACAAAAGGGCUACAACUUAUCCAGUGAGAAAAUUAGGAAAAAACUAGCAAACAUGUUAACCACUUAUAAAAGGGUAAAAGACAGGCGCCGUGCAACUGGGGAGGGGAAGAUCACCUGGGAGUACUAUACACUAAUGGAUGAGUUGUUUGGGUCAUCGGGAAUCGGUACCGCAUUACCAGGCACCAUUCACUCCACACCUCUGGGU